AGGAAACCCUUCCUGAAAAUUGGAUUUUUUUUUCUUGUCUACGCAGGAUAGAAACAAGAUGGGAGAUUCAGUACCUCUAAAACUAGCACUGCCAGAGCUGAAGUAUCCUAUUGGUUCACAGCCAAAGGAAAAGUCAGCAAUCAACCAAUACUCUGGUUCAGAGUAUAUCUCUAUUGUCAAAAGCAUCCUAAAACCAGAUGAGAUGAUAAGAGUCCGAGGAUCAUUUCUGGGACCUGUAAUGAAGCUCAGUGAGAGAGGAUUGAAGUUAUCAGCAAAGAUAGUCUACGCCAUUCUCACUAGAAGCAUCGUUUCUGUCAAGGAGAAUGAAGCCUGGUUCCAUUUCGGUGCGCAGCCAAUGAGGUUCUCUAUAAGAGAAUUUCAUAUGAUGACAGGCUUGAAAUGUAGUGGUGCAUUAGAAGGACCACGAAGGGAAACCGAGAGAUUUAAUUGGGAAUUGCUAAAGGGGCGUAGUCAUAAGUUAAGUGACGUGGUGGACCAGCUCAGAAACACAAGAGAAGAUGCUUCUGAGGAGAGAGUAUGCCUCGCAAUGCUCAUCCUGGUAGAGAGCAUAUUAUUGCGGAAGAGCAAAGGAGGGAGUUUUCCUUUGGAAUAUGCGAAAAAUGCACAGGAUAUGACAUAUCCAUGGGGAAAAGAGGCUUACAUUGUGCUCCUGAAGUCAAUUCAAAACGCUGUCGCGAAUCAUUUGGAGAAUAAAUCCAAAUUUGAGUUGCAAGGUUAUCCUCUAGUAUUCCUUCUUUGGAUACUAGAGUCGAUUCCUUUGCUAAGGAAUAAGUUCAGUAAGUGUGUACCAACAGUUGAGGUUCCUGGGCCGACUUACUUGUGUGAAAAAUACACUGAGGUAGAGAAUCCAUCACUUGAUAGGGUUUUACAGGUUGAAGCUGAUUCAAAGGUAAGCUUUUCCAAGUAUAUGUUUCUCAGUUUAUUUGGCUUCUUCUUUUUAAUAUGUUUCUCAUUGGUCUUUUUUUAAAUACUCUCAGCUGAAGGUCCAUUGCAUACUACCUUCUAUUCCUCAUGAUCCAGAAGAUGAUAUCUCCAUUGAAGACAAAUAUAGUGACGAGCUGGAAACAGUGAAAGAUGUAACAAAGAAAGGGUACAAGAUUACAGCCGAUGACUGGGAAAAUAGGUGUGUAGACACAUUUGACACAUUGGAUGCUCUUAUUCAAAUGAUGGCAAAUAAGGAGACUGGCCAAGCUUCUACUCCGAUUGAUGAGGAUUCAGUAAAUGAAAAAGUGAACAGGAUCAUCACGGUAAUGGAGGAGAAUCUGAAGAGCAUGAAGGAUCGAAUGUCAUUACUGGAAGAAGAAAACAUACAUCUUAGAGCUCGUGUGUCAGAGUUGGAAGGAAACAACAAUGUUUUUCCCACUAACGUGACACAAAAGGUAAAUUCUCAAAACAUCUUCUUUUACAUUUGCAUUUUCAAGUAUUUUUUGGAAGAUCUUGUACAUAUUCUUGAAUGCCUUCCUAAUAUUUGACAAACAGCGAUCCAGUGGGACACCUUUAUCUCCAAUGUCUCACACGCAACCAUCGAGUGAGACACCUUUAUCUCCAAUGUCUCACACGCAACCAUCGAGUGAGACACCUUUAUCUCCAAUGUCUCAACAGCCUAAUUUGACACAUGAGGUAUGUAACCAAUAAAUAUUGUUGAGUUUUGAAGUAAUAUUUGGAAAGCUUUUGUACUUCUUGAAUGCAUUCCUGAUUUUUGCAGGAGACAAUGAUUGAAUCAGCUGCAUCUCCAAAGUCUCAACAAAAUGAGGUAUAUGCUCAAAAAUUUUUAAGAAAAUAUUUGGAAAUUCUUGUACAAAAUCCUGAAUGCCUUCCUGAUUUUUGCAGGAUUACACGCAACCAUCGAGUGAGACGCCUUUAUCUCCAAUGUCUCAACAGCCUAAUUUGACAAAUGAGGUAUGUAACCAAUAAAAUAUUGUUGAGUUUUGAAGUAAUAUUUGGAAGCUUUUGUACAUAUUCUAGAAUGCAUUCUUGAUUUUUGCAGGAGACAAUGAAUGAAUCAGAUGAUGAAACUCCUGCCCUUGAUACUCAAGUAUUCUCUCCUAAUCUGACAAAAGAGGUAUAUGCUCAAUGAUAUUGUUUUCACAGUUGGAGUUUACAAAUUAGUUUUGGGUGAUUUUUUUUUACAUAUAAAGGCUUUUCUGAUUUUUGACAGAAAGAAACAGAAACGUCUACCGAUGAGAGGCCAUCCAAUCCUAAUCAAGAUGGAAAACCAGAUGAUGAGGUAAUAUUUAUUCUAGAAAUUAUAGUUGAAUGUAUUCAUGAUGGCCAUUCCUGAUAUUUUUUUGCAGAUUGUGAGAGAGAAAUUAACAAGUGAGUCACCUGCUAGUCAGAGUCAAGUUUUGCAGAAAGAAACAGUAGAAAUGAAUGAGACACCUUCUUCUCCAAUAGCUCCAAAGAGUAUUGAAACUCCCGUUUAUACUCCAAGUCAGACUCAGCAGAUUGAGAGAGAGCCAUCGGAUGACACGCCUGCCCUUGAUACUCAAGUUUUUACUCCUAAUCUGACAAAAGAGGUAUAUGCUCAAUGACAGUUGGAGUUUACAAUUAGUUUUGGGUGAUUUACAUAUAUAGACCUUUCUAAUUUUUGGCAGAGGGAAACACAAACCUCUACUGAUGAAACGCCACCCAAAACUAAUCAAGAAGAAGGAAAACCAGAUGAUGAGGUAAUAUUUACUCUAGAAAUUAUAAUUGAAUGUAUUCA